rnacentral:rRNA from 1 species
UACGUAGGGUGCGAGCGUUAAUCGGAAUUACUGGGCGUAAAGCGUGCGCAGGCGGUUUUGUAAGCCAGAUGUGACAUCCCCGGGCUUAACCUGGGAAUGGCAUUUGGGACUGCAAGGCUGGAGUGUGGCAGAGGAGACUGGAAUUCCUGGUGUAGCAGUGAAAUGCGUAGAUAUCAGGAGGAAUACCGAUGGCGAAGGCAGGUCUCUGGGCUGACACUGACGCUCAUGCACGAAAGCGUGGGGAGCAAACAGG